rnacentral:rRNA from 1 species
AGACCCGAAACCCGGUGAUCUAGCCAUGGGCAGGUUGAAGGUUGGGUAACACUAACUGGAGGACCGAACCGACUAAUGUUGAAAAAUUAGCGGAUGACCUGUGGCUGGGGGUGAAAGGCCAAUCAAACCGGGAGAUAGCUGGUUCUCCCCGAAAGCUAUUUAGGUAGCGCCUCGUGAAUUCAUCUCCGGGGGUAGAGCACUGUUUCGGCUAGGGGGCCAUCCCGGCUUACCAACCCGAUGCAAACUGCGAAUACCGGAGAAUGUUAUCACGGGAGACACACGGCGGGUGCUAACGUCCGUCGUGAAGAGGGAAACAACCCAGACCGCCAGCUAAGGUCCCAAAGUCAUGGUUAAGUGGGAAACGAUGUGGGAAGGCCCAGACAGCCAGGAUGUUGGCUUAGAAGCAGCCAUCAUUUAAAGAAAGCGUAAUAGCUCACUGGUCGAGUCGGCCUGCGCGGAAGAUGUAACGGGGCUAAACCAUGCACCGAAGCUGCGGCAGCGACGCUGAUGCGUUGUUGGGUAGGGGAGCGUUCUGUAAGCCUGCGAAGGUGGCCUGUGAGGGUUGCUGGAGGUAUCAGAAG